CCUACGGGUGGCUGCAGUGAGGAAUAUUGGUCAAUGGGCGCGAGCCUGAACCAGCCAAGUCGCGUGAAGGAAGACUGCCCUACGGGUUGUAAACUUCUUUUGUCAAGGAAUAAAGUGAUGCACGUGUGCCUUUUUGUAUGUACUUUAUGAAUAAGGAUCGGCUAACUCCGUGCCAGCCGCCGCGCUAAUACGGAGGAUGCGAGCGUUCUCCGGAUUUGUUGUGUUUAAAGGGUGCGUAGGGGGCGUGUUACGGCAGCGGUAAACGCUAGGGGCUCAACCGCGGAGAGCCGUUGAACCUGGCUGUCUUGAGAUGUCGAGAGGUAUGCGGAAGGCGCAGUGUAGCGGUGAAAUGCGUAGAGAUUGCGCAGAACCCCGAUUGCGAAGGCAGCAUACCGGCGGAGAUCUGACGCUGAGGCACGAAAGCGUGGGUAUCGAACAGGAUUAGAUACCCCAGUAGUC
rnacentral:rRNA from 1 species